rnacentral:rRNA from 1 species
UGAACGCUGGCGGCGUGCCUAAUACAUGCAAGUCGAGCGAACAGACGAGGAGCUUGCUCCUCUGACGUUAGCGGCGGACGGGUGAGUAACACGUGGAUAACCUACCUAUAAGACUGGGAUAACUUCGGGAAACCGGAGCUAAUACCGGAUAAUAUAUUGAACCGCAUGGUUCAAUAGUGAAAGACGGGUUUGCUGUCACUUAUAGAUGGAUCCGCGGCGCAUUAGCUAGUUGGUAAGGUAACGGCUUACCAAGGCAACGAUGCGUAGCCGACCUGAGAGGGUGAUCGGCCACACUGGAACUGAGACACGGUCCAGACUCCUACGGGAGGCAGCAGUAGGGAAUCUUCCGCAAUGGGCGAAAGCCUGACGGAGCAACGCCGCGUGAGUGAUGAAGGUCUUCGGAUCGUAAAACUCUGUUAUUAGGGAAGAACAAAUGUGUAAGUAACUAUGCACGUCUUGACGGUACCUAAUCAGAAAGCCACGGCUAACUACGUG